rnacentral:snoRNA from 1 species
GGCCACCUGGUGCUUAUUAUAGGCUGUGUUCUCACUACACAGAAAGGGAAGACAGAGUAAAUCUACCUAACACAUUAGCCCAAGACCUGUGCACGGGCAUAUAAAUGGAGAACCAG